GAGGGUAUAGCUCAGUGGUAGAGGGCAUGCUUAGCAUGCAUGAGGUCCUGGGUUCAAUCUCCAGCAUCUCA
rnacentral:tRNA from 1 species